AUUGAACGCUGGCGGCAGGCCUAACACAUGCAAGUCGAGCGAGCGGCGGACGGGUGAGUAAUGUAUGGGGGCUGCCCGAUAGAGGGGGCUAACUCCUGGAAACGGUAGCUAAUACUGCAUACUAUCGGAUACCACAUAUGGGCUUAGCGAGUAGGUUCGGUAAUGGCUCACCUAGGCUACGAUACCUAGCUGGUCUGAGAGGAUGACCAGCCACACGGGGACUUGGACACGGCCCAGACUCCUACGGAGUCAGCAGUGGGGAAUAUUGCACAAUGGGCGCAACCCUGAUGCAGCCAUGCCGCGUGUAUGAAGAAGGCCCUAGGGUUGUAAAGUACUUUCAGUCGGUAGGCGUUACCGACAGAAGAAGCACCGGCUAACUCCGUGCCAGCAGCCGCGGUAAUUC
rnacentral:rRNA from 1 species